rnacentral:rRNA from 1 species
GCAGCGCGGGCUUCGGCCUGGCGGCGAGUGGCGAACGGGUGAGUAACAUAUCGGAACGUGCCCUGGAGUGGGGGAUAACUAGUCGAAAGACUAGCUAAUACCGCAUACGAUCCAUGGAUGAAAGCGGGGGAUCGCAAGACCUCGUGCUCCUGGAGCGGCCGAUAUCUGAUUAGCUAGUUGGUGGGGUAAAGGCCCACCAAGGCGACGAUCAGUAGCUGGUCUGAGAGGACGACCAGCCACACUGGGACUGAGACACGGCCCAGACUCCUACGGGAGGCAGCAGUGGGGAAUUUUGGACAAUGGGGGCAACCCUGAUCCAGCAAUGCCGCGUGUGUGAAGAAGGCCUUCGGGUUGUAAAGCACUUUUGUCCGGAAAGAAAUCGCUCUGGUUAAUACCUGGGGUGGAUGACGGUACUGGAAGAAUAAGCACCGGCUAACUACGUGCCAGCAGCCGCGGUAAUACGUAGGGUGCGAGCGUUAAUCGGAAUUACUGGGCGUAAAGCGUGCGCAGGCGGUUGUGCAAGACAGAUGUGAAAUCCCCGGGCUUAACCUGGGAAUGGCAUUUGUGACUGCACGGCUAGAGUGUGUCAGAGGGGGGUAGAAUUCCACGUGUAGCAGUGAAAUGCGUAGAUAUGUGGAGGAAUACCGAUGGCGAAGGCAGCCCCCUGGGAUAACACUGACGCUCAUGCACGAAAGCGUGGGG